UGCAGUCGAGCGGUAGCACAGAGAGCUUGCUCUCGGGUGACGAGCGGCGGACGGGUGAGUAAUGUCUGGGAAACUGCCUGAUGGAGGGGGAUAACUACUGGAAACGGUAGCUAAUACCGCAUAAUGUCGCAAGACCAAAGUGGGGGACCUUCGGGCCUCAUGCCAUCAGAUGUGCCCAGAUGGGAUUAGCUAGUAGGUGGGGUAACGGCUCACCUAGGCGACGAUCCCUAGCUGGUCUGAGAGGAUGACCAGCCACACUGGAACUGAGACACGGUCCAGACUCCUACGGGAGGCAGCAGUGGGGAAUAUUGCACAAUGGGCGCAAGCCUGAUGCAGCCAUGCCGCGUGUGUGAAGAAGGCCUUCGGGUUGUAAAGCACUUUCAGCGGGGAGGAAGGCGAUAAGGUUAAUAACCUUGUCGAUUGACGUUACCCGCAGAAGAAGCACCGGCUAACUCCGUGCCAGCAGCCGCGGUAAUACGGAGGGUGCAAGCGUUAAUCGGAAUUACUGGGCGUAAAGCGCACGCAGGCGGUCUGUCAAGUCGGAUGUGAAAUCCCCGGGCUCAACCUGGGAACUGCAUUCGAAACUGGCAGGCUAGAGUCUUGUAGAGGGGGGUAGAAUUCCAGGUGUAGCGGUGAAAUGCGUAGAGAUCUGGAGGAAUACCGGUGGCGAAGGCGGCCCCCUGGACAAAGACUGACGCUCAGGUGCGAAAGCGUGGGGAGCAAACAGGAUUAGAUACCCUGGUAGUCCACGCCGUAAACGAUGUCGAUUUGGAGGUUGUGCCCUUGAGGCGUGGCUUCCGGAGCUAACGCGUUAAAUCGACCGCCUGGGGAGUACGGCCGCAAGGUUAAAACUCAAAUGAAUUGACGGGGGCCCGCACAAGCGGUGGAGCAUGUGGUUUAAUUCGAUGCAACGCGAAGAACCUUACCUGGUCUUGACAUCCACAGAACUUUCCAGAGAUGGAUUGGUGCCUUCGGGAACUGUG
rnacentral:rRNA from 1 species